rnacentral:rRNA from 1 species
UACGUAGGGAGCAAGCGUUGUCCGGAAUCAUUGGGCGUAAAGCGCGCGUAGGUGGUCCCGUAAGUCCGCUGUGAAAGUCAAAGGCUCAACCUUUGAAAGCCGGUGGAUACUGUGGGACUAGAGUACGGAAGAGGCGAGUGGAAUUCCUGGUGUAGCGGUGGAAUGCGCAGAUAUCAGGAGGAACACCAAUAGCGAAGGCAGCUCGCUGGGACGUUACUGACACUGAGGCGCGAAGCGUGGGGAGCAAACAGG